rnacentral:lncRNA from 1 species
GCCUCCAGGUUAGACGCAGCGCCCAGGGGCGGCUGAAGAAACGUGAGGGGUGUGGACAAAUCCUCCAAGAUUUAACUUCCAAGGAAACCGGCGGCGGAGCGGGUGGAGGAGGCGAGGAUGUGUGGCCAGUGCACGCGGAGUGCAAGGCCGCCUAGUUGGGAGCCGCAAGAGCCUGCCUGGUGUGGCAGGCACACGGAACCCAAUCCCUGUCUGUCUGCUGCGGCCUGGGAGGGGAGCGCCGGCCUCACCAGAGGAAGGAGCACGAGGGGAGGAGUUCCUAGAGGAAAUAAUUAGUGAAAUAUUUGCGGAAGAUGCUGGGAUGUGGAUUUAAUUCCACAUGGACAGUGGUGCUUCUGAUUCCCUCAGUCUGUUUCCCUUGGCCUAGACACAUCAAAAAUAAUUCAUUAAAAUAAAAAUAAAAAUUUAAAAACCUG